rnacentral:rRNA from 1 species
GACGAACGCUGGCGGCGUGCCUAACACAUGCAAGUCGAACGAAGUAUAUUUUUCGGAAUAUACUUAGUGGCGGACGGGUGAGUAACGCGUGAACAAUCUGCCCUAUACAAAGGAAUAGCCUCGGGAAACCGGGAUUAAAACCAUAUAACACUUAUCGGUCGCAUGACUGAUAAGUCAAAUUGAUUAAGAGGUAUAGGAUGAGUUCGCGUCUGAUUAGCUAGUUGGUGAGGUAAUGGCUCACCAAGGCGACGAUCAGUAGCCGGCCUGAGAGGGUGAACGGCCACACUGGAACUGAGACACGGUCCAGACUCCUACGGGAGGCAGCAGUGGGGAAUAUUGCACAAUGGGCGAAAGCCUGAUGCAGCGACGCCGCGUGAGUGAAGAAGGUCUUCGGAUCGUAAAACUCUGUCCUUGGGGAAGAUAAUGACGGUACCCAAGGAGGAAGCCCCGGCUAACUACGUG